CAUCUAGAUGUGUAUAAGAGUCCCACCUGACCCCAUGCCGAACUCAGAAGUGAAACGCCGUAGCGCCGAUGGUAGUGUGGGGUCUCCCCAUCCUGUCUCUUAUACACAUCUAGAUGUGUAUAAGAGACAGGGGUGGGGUAUGUCUCCCCGGUGGCGCU
rnacentral:rRNA from 1 species